rfam:Heterocephalus glaber contig87584, whole genome shotgun sequence.
CUCCACGGAACAUUCAACGCUGUCGGUGAGUUUGGGAUUUAAAAAAACCACUGACCGUUGACUGUACCUUGGGG